CCUACGGGAGGCAGCAGUGAGGAAUAUUGGUCAAUGGACGAGAGUCUGAACCAGCCAAGCAGCGUGAAGGAUGACUGCCCUAUGGGUUGUAAACUUCUUUUAUAUGGGAAUAAACUGUUCCACGUGUGGGAUUUUGUAUGUACCCUAUGAAUAAGGAUCGGCUAACUCCGUGCCAGCAGCCGCGGUAAUACGGAGGAUCCGAGCGUUAUCCGGAUUUAUUGGGUUUAAAGGGAGCGUAGGUGGAUUGUUAAGUCAGUUGUGAAAGUUUGCGGCUCAACCGUAAAAUUGCAGUUGAAACUGGCAGUCUUGAGUACAGUAGAGGUGGGCGGAAUUCGUGGUGUAGCGGUGAAAUGCUUAGAUAUCACGAAGAACUCCGAUUGCGAAGGCAGUUCACUGGACUGCAACUGACACUGAGGCUCGAAAGUGUGGGUAUCAAACAGGAUUAGAUACCCCAGUAGUC
rnacentral:rRNA from 1 species